rnacentral:rRNA from 1 species
GUCAUCCCAAUCAUCGAAACGAUAGUUCAGUCUGUCGAUAUGCGAAUACGCUCGACCGACUUCAGUUCUGAAUCCACUCUUACAAAGGAUACUGUUCCAGUAAACGUUGAUGCAAUUUGUUUCUGGAUGGU